CAAAAAUACCCCUUAUUGAACACUGUCAAGUCUGCAGGAGCUACAGGGCUGGCAGACACUUCAGUGGCUCUGGCUGUUUCCUGGACAGUGAGAAGUCACCGCUGCACAUUACAGAUGGUCCUGUGCAUUCAGCAAAACCUUCUUUCACUUCUUAACACUCCUUUCAUUCUCCUGAGUCACAAAAGCAGUGUUGCAACCUGAAGAUUAUGUUUGGCGUAUUUCUGGUCACCAAAUCAGCUUGGCCACUCUGCCCCCUUUCUGCCUGCAGCAUGUCUGGAUUGGCUCGUGCUUCCCUUUUUCUCUUGGGUGCUCAAAAGCAUUUGGGCACUUCUAGCAACAGCACUGCUUGCUUCCAGCAGCAGCCAUGGGCCCUUUCCAUGAGUGUGAGCAAAGCAGGAGAUGAAUAGCUCUGAUGUAGUUUCAGGUGCAUUUUGGAGUGAUGAAAUCCUAAGAAUGAGGUCUGUAGAGAUGCAGUGAGCAGGGCAAACAGAAGCCCUGCAAUGUGAUGGGUUGCUCUGAUUGCAGUGCCUUGUCUUUGUUUCCAUGGAAGCUACAAGAAAUAGAAAGAGCACAAUAACACUAAUUGAUAGAGCAGAUUCUCAGCUCCCAAACACUAUUUUUCAAUAGCAAUUCACAGGAGCAAUUCAAAAGCAAUUUACAGGAGCCUUCACUUCAUGCUUGUAAAUACCUGCACCAGUGGAAGCAGCGCACUGUUUCACAGCUGCUAUGAUGGCACAGUUGACCAGGAAAUGUUGCCCACACAGUCCAUCUUUCACCAGUCUGAACAGAUGGAAAAAAUGAAGGUGCCAAAUCGGGACGAUCUGUUGUGUGUGUCAGGACUGUAAAGUCAAAAUAAGCUCUGUCCACCACAGUCUUCCAAUUGGUAUGGAACCUGACAUUACGGUGUUGAAAGAGAAAGAUAGUCUUCUUCUCUGACCUGAUUCUGGAAAUUCAAGCCUUUGUCAGUAGUACAUUGUCAGUACUGAGACUGAGUGGUAGGAGUUGAUGCAUUGUCCAGGUCCUAGCAAAUCCAGACGGAUCACCCCUUCCUUUCCUAUCCCAAAACACAGUGCACAUCAGUAUGCCCACUGAGGUCUGUAUCUAGACCUUUUUCUUUGAUAGGGAAUUCUCAUGUUGCCACUCCAUGGACUCUGGCUCUUUUGACUCUGGCUCGUAGCCUUGACUCCACACCUCAUCAUUGGUAAUGAUGAGAUCCAGGAAACUGACACCUGGAGCCUCAUUUGGGUUCAAUUGUUUCUUGCUAAUUGGCAUACAGUGUUCUUUCUGUUCCUGUGUGAAUGUUCAUGGGACCCAGCCUGUGCAAAGUUUGCUAUAUUGCACUGUUGACACCAUUCUUUUCAAUGCACAGAAGCCAACAUUCAUUUCUCUAUGCAGCUCUCUGGUCAUAAUCCACUGAUUUGAGCAGAUGCUCCGAUCCAGACACAUUUCAUUUUGUGUGUGACAGCUGUGCAUUGCUAUUGAGAACAUGGCAUAUCAUUUGAGCCCCUGUUGCCAAUGCUGAAACGCAAUAUCCACUGCAUCUGUUGUUUGGCCUUCUGUUUCUGGUUCAGCAAGAAUCAAUGAAUGUCAAGGGGGUGCAGUUUGUUCCACAUGGAAAUAUCAAAAUCCACACCCUUGUUUCGAGUGGCCCUGAUUUGAAGUAGUAGGCCACAAUCUAUUUUGUAAUGUGUUUUUAGAAAUGGCCGAUUUGAAAAAGUAGAUAUGCCAUAUAUUUUUGUAGUGUAUCUUUAGAAAUACUGUUGUUGAAUUGUUUUAUUAGGUGAUCAGUUCUCACUAGCAAAACUGUAAUAGCUUUUGGUGUAGCUAAUAGUUAUGGAUGUAGCAUUACAUACGAGAAAGCAUGUUGUAUGUCUGUACUGUUUUGAAGAGAGACCCUCAGCAAAAGAAACAUAAUGAUGAAAGCCAGGGCCUCCACACGAGGCUGAAUUGUCUCACUCUGGGAUUAGGUUGAAAUGCAGCAGGCAGAUGUCACGAUUCUCUUCUCUAUCCUCCUUAUCUUCUAACAACCCAGUGUAUAUCAUUAAAAGUCAGGUUGCCAAGCUUAUUUCUAUCCAGGGUCAAGCAGAUGUCCAGAGCUCAUGGCUGAGUGCUGAGUGAGCAUAAUAGGCUUUCUCCUACUGUGCAUAUAUCUCUGAAUAAAGUUCAUGUGGAGGACAAGGAAGGAAGACCACUGGAUGAAAGACAAGGCUGUCGGUUGGGGUGUCACGGUGCCAAAAGGACUCUAGACGGUAGAAGAGACCAUGGAAUAGAAGACUGGAAACCUCAAAAAUCACUCCCUGAGAUAGGUGGCAACCCAGAUGGGACAAUCUCUGUUCCGUUGCGGGACCCGUUGAGAACAGGACUCCCUGGGCACCCCUGGAGGGAAUCCUCACCUCAGCUGGAUCACUGUGGAACAGACAAAGGACAUGUGAAAUAAAAAUAAAAUAAAUAAAUAAAUAAAUAAAUAAAAUAAAAGGCAUUCUUUACUUGUCAGUUUUGGGGAAAGGUCCAUUGAGGAGGCUAUCUAUAAGUCAGCCGAGAUUGCAGGGCAGGCCUGGUUUGGGAAUACUCAAUUGCAGGUGGGUGUCCUGCUGGGUUGGGGAAGCCACCUAUAAGUCACUGGGGAUCGCAGGGUUGGCGUCUCUUGGGCCAUGAGCACCCAGGUAUACAUUUGGGAAAUACCUGAUUGCAGGUUCGUGCCCUACUGGGUAUGUAUAGGUUUUGAAACUAAGGCACUGAAAAUUGGCUUUGAUAAUGCGUUCUGUUUACUGCCUAAAGAAACCAGGAGCAUAAAACUGGACAGUUCUUGGAGUGUCUUAAUUGUAAGAAUAAGUGCUAGGUGUUUAUGUAUUGUUUGACUUGUGGUGUUGGAGGGAGUGGGGCAAACUGAUGGUGUGUGGAUAUUAAGUAUAAUUGAUAGUAUGUGGAAGUUUAUGCAAGUGUAACUGAUGGUUCAUGGAAGUGUAAUUGAUGGUAUGUGGAAGUGCAAUUGAUGUUGUUUAUGGCACCUUGGUUGCUGUGAACUUUGUUAUAGUUUGUUGUUGUAAUUGAAAAAAAAAUUAAGACAAAAGAGUUAAGGAGGAAUGGUGAGUUGGAGAACUAGAAUGGAUUAAAAUUACCAGUGGAAGCCUGAAAUCAGCAGAAAAACAAUAACAAAUGAAGCUCCCAUCUUGCUAGGGGAUGUUGGUUAUGGCUCUCCCUGAAGGAAUUUGAUGUACAACCACGGCUUGAGGGAGAUGGUGACUCCAUUACCUACCAAUUUGAGGAGGCACAGUUUUCCAAAAGGGGAGCAAGUAACUCCAAAGAAAUCCUAAAGAAGACACCUAUGGAAUGUGUCACACUGGAAAGAAAUAAUUGGCUGGGCAGGAAGCACAACCAGCAAAAAGGUGUUGAUAAAGUACUGUAAUCAGUGAUGUAAUGGUAUAGGGAAUUAUAAUUGGUGCAGUUUGUGAUGUCUUGGUGAUUGCAGACUUGGUCAUGGUUUGUUGUUGUAAGAAACCAUGCAUAAUAUUUUAAGUGCACAUUCUGAAUACUGUGUGACAGGUGGCAAGAUGAGGAGCGGAACUGUGGAAUUAGAGAAGGAAAAAAAAGUCCCCAGGGAUGUAUACUGUCUUAUUGGAGCAGUACUGGGAGACCCGCUGGAGGAAACGUAAACCAGACAACUUUGGGAUAAAUAUACCAUAAUCAGUGGUGGAAAUUACAGAAGUUGGAAUUUCAGGAAAAUGCUCAGCAAAUGAAUCAAUUAUACUAGCAUCUUGUAAUUAACGUUGUUUUGUAAACGGGAACAGCAAAUAAUUUACGUGAGAUGUGAUGCUAGCAAGGACCAUAGAGAGGAAAAACGGCGAAAAAGAGAAUGCGGGGCUGGCUGCCACCCUGGAAGGGAUCUAAGAUGCUGGUCACCACCAGCACGAAAUCUGCCCUGCGCUUCCCCAACCUGUGGCUUGCAAAAGGAAUGCUCAGAGCAAGCUGGGCUGGAGACCGCAGGUGUGGAGCUACAUGUGCUAAUUGCAGGGGAGGAGGGUUGAGGUGGGAUGCAUUGGAAGUGAGAAUGCCCUCCUCUGUGGAGAUCUAGGAAAUCCGACAUCCCAGCUUUAGCGCUGGAAGCCUCCGGGGCAAGGCUGCAGGCGAAACUGGAAUAGAACGUUUGAUUGAUACAAAUGGUUUUUAUAUUUACCAAUGGGCAAGGAAAUCUUUAAUCAGUUGGGACUGGUUGGAGGAAUUAGGGUCAAAAAUAAAAUCUACAGACAGUGUCCUUUGUAGGCAGGAGUGGUGCCUGGCAGAACAAAGAGAACUGAGCCACUUUACAAUGGGGGGGAGGAGAAAAGAAAAAGGGAAAAAAAGGAAAGACACAGGCUGAGGGAAGCAAAGAAAGGAAUAGAGAGGAAGCAGAGAAUGCAGAAGAAAGACAGAAGUGCAAUGUUGUGAGGGCGGAGAAGAAAGGUGAGGGAUAUGGAAAAACUGAGGAGAUAGUAAUGAAAUAAGGAAAUCCAGAAGAAUCAUAGCAACUGCUACUGUUGUGGCAUCAGCAGACUUCGCAACAGUGGUGGGAGUUACCAGCCUACAGGGAAAAAAGCAACCAAAAAAAGUUUCAUUUCGAAAUGAAGUAAUACAGGCUGGGAAACAUUAUGUUACAGGUAGGAGCCAGAUAAUGUAAAGAAUACCAUCAGAGAAAAAAAAAAAAAAA